UUUCAGAUGAUGAUCCCAAGCCUUCUGGCGAUCUAGAAAAAAACAAGCCUUAACUUUAGGCUUUCAGAAGACGCUUUUGUUUUUAUGAGAUGAUGUGUUUUUAUGAGAUUAUGCCGGGGAAGGUUUUCCGGUUUAUCCCGGAGGGCUUGUAGCUCAGUUGGUUAGAGCGCGCGCUUGAUAAGCGUGAGGUCGGAGGUUCAAGUCCUCCCAGGCCCACCAAUUACUCCAUCUAUUUGCUUUAUCCUGUUUUAGGGGCCGUAGCUCAGCUGGGAGAGCACCUGCUUUGCAAGCAGGGGGUCGUCGGUUCGAUCCCGUCCGGCUCCACCAUUUUAGGUCAUCAUCAUUGUUGUGAGAACAGUCUUUGUAAAAGGUUUAAUGAUCUUUUGCUUGUUCUAUUGAAAUUGUGAAGAGAAGAUAUAUUCAGACAUGUUAC
rnacentral:tRNA from 1 species